AUGUCCCAAGUAUGCCCAGCCCCAUCUUCUGAUCCUAGCACAGAACAGCUCCCGACAGAUGACUGUAGCUGUCCUCCUUCAAUACUGAGGAAAAGGCCACCUGUGGACCAGGCUGUGGGGGAAAAGAGGAAAGCAGAGAGAAGGGUUCGAUUUCGUGAGCCAGAAGAAGUCAUUGAACAUGUUAUUUCCUGCUGUGACUACGUAGUGGUACAUGACAGGUCAUCACCUGGAUUGCCUAUGCUCCUGGGGCUGUCAUUUUGUGUGGUACUGAUCCUGGCUGCAAGUCUCUUCUAUGCCAGCAUGAAACAAGAUACCAAAGUCCUGGAGGAGUUUCAAUCCCGACUUGUUAUCUUCUUUCUUCAGAUAAGACACAUUGCUCAUAAAUGCUGGACUUGGUUUACAAGGUAGUAGCAAUGCCCUCCAUUUGCAGGAAGGCAGCACUGAUAACCACCAUGUGUCAGAGUGAAUGUCCCAGCCCACUCAGUCCACAUUUAAGGAACACAUGAGUAUCCACGUUGAAGAGCAAAAAAAAAAAAAAAAAUCCACCUAUUUUGUGCACUUUCUAGCAUCUACUUUUUUUUUUUUAAUAUAUAUUUUUUAAUAUUUCUGAAUGAUAAUAGUAAGAGGUCCCACCUCUGCUCCAUCAUCCUUAACAGCAAACAAGCAUCUGAAUUUUUUCCCCCAAAGAGAUUAUGAACUGUUGCUAUGAGGAGCAGGACCAGAGAGAAAUUCAUUGAUCCGUGCAUGCAGAAGAACAUUGAAAGAAGUCUCCUGAGUCUGAGGUCAAAGAAUUAAAUACCAAACCAUUUUUCUCCUCAAGCCUCCUAAGAACUAUUCUGCAGAAUUUAACAUAAAGCUGAACUACUGCACAAACACUGCUCUGGUGGCCAAAGGCUUGGCAAGCUGCUAUAUUUAUAUACCUGAAAUGAUUGCUAGUAAAGGCUCAGCAAAUGGCUUUUUUUUUCCCCCUGUCUGUGGGCAAAAGCUGUUUCUUAAUGUUUCACUUGACUCCCAGGUGUGAAAAAUAACAUGAAAACGCAUUUAAAUACUAAACAGAGCAUUUGCCUAACACAAUACAGAACAGCAUUGAAUCCCAGGUUAAUUAUCAAAUCAGAACUUAAUCCUCUAGGUUGGAUUCAGUCCAUAAACCCAAGAUUUACGGUUGUGUUUGUCUUCAGUGGAAGCUUUCACAUUUAUGCCUGCGUGUUUAAGGGUAUUAUAGACUUUUCAUGAAGGUGUUGGGUCAAAGCCCUGUUAUCUCUGUUGUAGUACCAUACAGUGCAUCUCUGGAGGGAACCAAGCAUAUGCAAUCUUAUGAGCUUCAACUGUGUUUUGUUCUCAGAAUCACAGAAUUGCUCAGGUUGGAAGAGACCUUCAACAUGAAGUCAACCACAGACAGAAACAGCAUGAUCCAUUUUCCAGGCCCUAGAUUCUUGUCAAACAAUACUUGACACAUGUGUAAGGGUGACAGCAGAGCCCAAAAAAGCAGAAGAAAGAAAACAGUGGAAAAGAGGGAAGAGAUACCCACAAGACCUUGGCUUUAACUCCUCUGCCACAUAAUGCACCAAAAAGAAACAGCUUUAUUCCUAAUUGACUUUAAAAAAAAAAAAAAAAAGCAAGCUUGUCCAGACACCCCAAAAAUUUAAACCACAUGGAAGGUAAAAGAAAACCAAUUACAGAGCUUUCACCUAGAACAGAGUGGGCAGGUUGACAAAUAAUGAGUACAAAAAAAAAAAAAAACAAAAACAAACAUUUGUAGUCAGUAAGAACUGACCUGAACAGCUAUUCUCAUGCUCUGAAGGCAACAGCAAUUGCACCUGGGGAGCUUGCUGAUCUGGGACACAGAGGUCACUGCAGGAGCAUUUGGCUCAGUGACUCUAUGCAAAACACUCACGCACACCAGCUCGCAGGGUAAGUCCCCUGUGGCUUCCCUGCCCUCUCUCCAUCACCCCGCUGUUGGGAUAAUAAAGAAGCAGCUUUAAACUUGUGUCUGGUGAAU
rnacentral:lncRNA from 1 species